rnacentral:lncRNA from 1 species
UCUCCUGAAGGAACAGAGUUUCUACCUCCAGGGGCAUCAUAACCCCUUCCAUAUUGCCCAGGCUGACUAUUGCCCUGCUGUGGAGCAUAGUUUGGUCCACCUCCUUGCAUCGAACCCCAUUGCUCAUUUGGUGGAUUUCCUUGUGGAGGUGGUCUGUUAUAAUUUGGAUUUCCUUGUGGAGGUGGUCUGUUAUAAUUUGGAUUUCCUUGUGGAGGUGGUCUGUUAUAAUUUGGCCGGUCAUAUCUGUUUUGAUUCCGUUCUCUACCUUGCCUACCAUAUUGAAUUGGAGGAGGCCUUGGAGUAAUAACCCCGUUCUCAUACUUGUCACCUGAAUAUAAGAAGGAAAUGUACCAGAAAAGAAGCUAUGUUUUAAAAGAAAAGAAAUUAUAACAUACAAAUAAACUCAGAACAUCUGAAUAUGGUCACAUUAAACUGUAAGCAUUGCAAAAAUGCUAAACAUGUGCAACUUGACACAUCCUUAGUUACUGUGAUACUCUGAUAGGUUGCAAAGAUACAAGAAACGAAGUUUAGAAGGAAACGUACAGACCUCCAUACUCCUUAUUGACAGGAUCAAUAUACGAGUCUGGCAAUAUGAAGACAACACCAGG